GUCUAUGGAAUAUCACAUUGAACACGCCUGAUCUCGUCUGAUCUCGGAAGCUAAGCAUGAUAGGGCCUGGUUAGUACUUGGAUGGGAGAACAUUGAAUACAAAUCUCUGUGAAGA
rnacentral:rRNA from 1 species